rnacentral:rRNA from 1 species
UUCGUCACACUAUCAUUAACUGAAUCCAUAGGUUAAUGAGGCGAACCGGGGGAACUGAAACAUCUAAGUACCCCGAGGAAAAGAAAUCAACCGAGAUUCCCCCAGUAGCGGCGAGCGAACGGGGAGGAGCCCAGAGCCUGAAUCAGCAUGUGUGUUAGUGGAAGCGUCUGGAAAGGCGCGCGAUACAGGGUGACAGCCCCGUACACAAAAGCGCAUGUGCUGUGAGCUCGAUGAGUAGGGCGGGACACGUGGUAUCCUGUCUGAAUAUGGGGGGACCAUCCUCCAAGGCUAAAUACUCCUGACUGACCGAUAGUGAACCAGUACCGUGAGGGAAAGGCGAAAAGAACCCCGGCGAGGGGAGUGAAAAAGAACCUGAAACCGUGUACGUACAAGCAGUGGGAGCACCCUUUGGGUGUGACUGCGUACCUUUUGUAUAAUGGGUCAGCGACUUAUAUUCUGUAGCAAGGUUAACCGAAUAGGGGAGCCGGAGGGAAACCGAGUCUUA